CAAAGGUUUGGUCCCAGCCUUAUAGUUAAUUAAAAGUAAACUUACACAUGCAAAUUUCCAUGAACCUGUGCCAAGUCCUUAAGAACUUACUAUAAUCAAGUCUAAGGUAUAGGUAUCAAGCACAUUAUCAAUAGCUAAAGACACCUUGCUUAGCCACACCCCCACGGGUUACAGCAGUGAUAAAAAUUAAGCAAUAAACGAAAGUUUGACUAAGUUAUACUUUUAAGAGUUGGUAAAUUUCGUGCCAGCCACCGCGGUCAUACGAUUAACUCAAAUUAACUAACAAUCGGCGUUAAAUGUGUCACUUAAACAAUAGAAUAGAAUUAAAAACCAACUAAUACGUAUAAGUUUAUCGUUAGACCCUAAACUCAAUCACGAAAGUAAUUCUAAUUCAUUUAUACACGAUAGCUAAGAUCCAAACUGGGAUUAGAUACCCCACUAUGCUUAGCCUUAAACUUAAAUAAUUUAAUAACAAAAUUAUUUGCCAGAGGACUACGAGCAACCGCUUAAAACUCAAAGGACUUGGCGGCGCUCUACAUCCAUCUAGAGGAGCCUGUUCUAUAAUCGAUAACCCCCGUUCUACCUUACCAACCCUUGCUAAUCAGCCUAUAUACCGCCGUCUUCAGCCAACCCUAAGAAGGAAUAAAAAGUAAGCGAGAUAAUAAAUUAACAUUAAAACGUUAGGUCAAGGUGUAGCCUAUGGGUUGGAAAGUAAUGGGCUACAUUUUCUCAUAAAGAACAUCACGAUGCCUUUUAUGAAAUUUAAGAGGCCAAGGAGGAUUUAGUAGUAAAUUAAGAGUAGAGAGCUUAAUUGAAUUUGGCCAUUGAGCGCGCACACACCGCCCGUCACCCUCCUCAAGUAACCAAGACAUUUAAAUACAUAAUUUCACACAUAAGGAAAUGAGAGGAGGCAAGUCGUAACAAGGUAAGCGUACUGGAAAGUGUGCUUGGACUAAC
rnacentral:ncRNA from 1 species